GGGGGAGGAAGGUCAGCGGAGCUCCAGGCACAGGGGCCCGUGGGGAAGCCCCGAGGCGGUGCGGCCGCGGCCCCGGGAAGGGCAGACGCUGGGGCUCCGCCCCAGCCGAGGGGAGGAGACGAGCAGGAGGUGAAAGCUUAGAGCUGUGCCAGCCGCCCAGUGGAAAGCAUCCCAGCUUACGUUUAACAUUUGGAAAACGGCUGUUAAGCUAAAGCUUUUUGCGAACGGGUGAGGCUCGCGUCUCGGGAGAGGCCAGCGGGACUCGGCGGGCUGGGAGCGCGGACCUCCGUGCGGUUGCAGCGGGGACAAUCAACUCGGAUGCUUUCACCCAGGAACGUCUCCUGCAAUUAGAAUUGCACUUGUCCGUGCAGGGAUGCAAACUUGAAUGUGAGAAGCAAAACUGCCUGAGCGAAUGUGCCGACAUCCGUCAGAGCAUCUUCACGCUUGUUCCCCAUCCGCUCACCCUGUGCCCAGUUCCAGAGCAAGACCUGGGCUGAGGGAGUUGGAGGAUGACGCAGGUAAUAAUUUCGGCCUCUGGUCAUUGCUUUUUAAAGAGAAAAAGCAGUAACUUAAAAAAAAUAGAUGUUAAGUUUGCAUCGUUCUUUAUACUUACCACUAUUACACACUAGGUGAGUGGCACUCAAAUACGUUUGAGGUAAACCUUUGUGACAAUUCAUUUAUCAAUAAUUUCUAAAUACAAUUUCAAAGUCAUUACACAUGUAUUCAACAAGACAAUUAUAUUUGUUCAUCUAAGGAAUAGUUUUGUAAUGUUUCCAGGGGCAUUCGAUGGGGAUAUGUUUUCUUUUAUAUGAACUCUAAAGAAUGAAAAGCUAGAUUAUCAAAUUUCCCAUGGUUUCAUACAUAACCAUCAACAAUGUUUAAGGCAAGACCAUGAGUUUAUGCCAUGAAAUAUAUGUUUGUUUUCAAAUCCAUGCAUAUGGGAGAUUUCUCUUCAGGAAGAAUUUUUUGACAAGCUUACUUAAGGCAUUUCUGGAUUAAAAAAAAAACCUUUUUAACAUACCUUAAGUUUAUAAGGAACUUGAUGUACACAUCUUUGAAUGACAUUGAAGGGUCCCCCGUCUUAUUUAUGGCUAUGUUGUGUCUGUUCCUGUCAUAUAUACAAGACGUCAUUGUAUUUUGGAAGAUGCUGCCUAAAUUACCCAAGUCAGAGGUCUAUGUAACUGUUAUGUUGAACCAGGAGAACUCAGAGGCUAAAAAAAACCUUUUUUCCCUUUGCCAUUUUUCUGAAGCUCAUGGAAAAACCCAGCAGCCAACAUCACAAAUUUUUAUGAUCAUGACCAGACAAUUAUAACUAAUUAAAAUGUCAGAGCCAGAUAACAUUCAAAACUGUGUAUUAUCCUGGCAUUCUCUCUUCUACCAAUUGAGCUCCAGACAGGGGACGUUCUUUUCCCCCCAUAGUCCCUUCCUCUUUCUCAUUCCAAGGUUUCUACUGGAUGACUUGAUAGCUUCAUGACUCUGUUCUAAAGUCAAAAAAUAAAAAAGGAAAAAUAGAGGAAAUAACCUCUCCUGAUGUUUGCAUAGUAGCAUGAGUUGUGACACUCCCUGAAUACCUAGCCAGGCCACUGACCACUCUGCCUUAACCUUCACUUUGUGCAAAGCCGGAGGAAAUCAGUCACGGUUUUCUCAGGUACUUUAUUCCCCAGUACAUGUGGACAACUUGAAAAGCCCUUCUUCCACACACACCUUUUUUUCUGUCAUUCCCCAUGCUUUUGGCAUUUCUGUGGUUUAUCCCAUUCUCCCUUGCCCUAGUCCACAGAGACUCAUACUUAUGCUUUUAAAUGCUGUAUGAUUCUCACUGAAGUCUGCCAGUAAGUAAAACCUAUAUAGAAUUUGAAAAGCAGAAGUAAAGCAGAGAAUGUCAAUCUCAGAAGAAUCCAGUGACCAGGUUAAAAGACUUUGAUAAAACCUCCCCACCAUCUCUGACGACACAUCUAAGGCAGUCAGAAGCAGUAACUUCUUAGAUAUAUCCAUGAUCGUCGGCUUCCACCCAUCCUAGGAUUUCAGUAUGUAGUUGCCAGUGAGUAUCUCUAUGAUCCACCAUUCUUCCAUACAUUUCAUUGCUCAUACUCCUUCCAAAUCCUUUCCUUUGUAUAAUAAUGCUUACUCUCAAAUAAUUGUAUUGUUUUCCCGACCAAAGAGUGUUACAAUCAUUCAAAUAAUACCAUUCCUGUUUCCAAAGUUAACCAGCAUGACCAUAAUUUGUCUCAUAGUCCUUUGGUCUUCCUACCAUUACAACUCAAUCAAAGAGUGUUUCUCAUGUUAUUUUAAAAUCUAGUAAAGCAACUCUGAUGCUUAAAAAUAGAUGGGACAACUGAGUAUCUACACGGAAAAGAAUGAAGUUGGACCCCUGUAUCACACCACAUACAAAAGUCAUUCAAAUCGAAUCAAAGAACUUAAUGAAAUAACUAUAACUAUGAAAUACUUGGAAGAAAACAUAGAUAUAAAUUUUCCAACAUCGGAAGUGUAUCUAAGAACCAAAACUCAGGCAACCCCUCCCCCAAAUUUAAAACUUGUGUCAAAGGACAUUACCAAUAAAGUGCAAAGACAAUCCACAAAACAGGAGAAAAGAUUUUCAAAUCAUAUAGCCAAUAAAGGGUAUAAAAAUUCUUAAACAAGAACAAAAGAACUCAAUUUAAAAACAAAGCACGGCAUUUGAACUUCUUCAAGGUAUAUCAAUGGCCAAGAAACACAUGAAAAGAUACUCAACAUCAGUCACUAGAGAAUACUGAUCAAAACGAUACCCCUUUAUCUGCUGGGAUAGCUAUAAUCUAAAAGAUGGAAAAUAACUAUUAAUGAGGAAGUGAAGAAACUGAAACCUUUGUGCAUCACUGGUGGGAAUGGAAAAUCAUGCAGUUGCUUUAGAAAAGUUUGGCAGUUCCUCAAAAAGAUGAAACUGAGUUCUUAUUCUUGUGACACAGCAAUUCCAUCCCUAUUUAUAGACCCGAGAACUGAAAAUGUUCACCAGAAACAAACACAGAAAACUUUGUAAAUGACAUAGCCAAGAAGUGGAAGGAGCCCAACGAAUUUUCCACAAUGAAAUAUUAUUCAGCCAUAAAAGGGAAUGAAGUAUCACCCAUGACAUGGAUGAGCCUUGAAAACGUAUCUCACUGAAAGCAGGUUGAAUUCAAGAAAGUAUUCUGAUCUACUGACUCAUGCCUGCAAGACCUCGGAGAUCCGGGGACCUGUACCCACGGCAACAAUGCAAGAGACAAUAAUAAUCUGGCAAGGAAAAGAAUUUGAGAUAAUUUUAAUGUAAAGUAAGCGUAUUUUUAACAAAAAUCCAGUUAGCAAUAGGUCUCCUGCCUCCACAAUAUAUGAGAUUUCAGUUCACCAUUUUGUGUCAUCCCAGUUCUUUCACUGAACUGAAAAUAUAAAGGGCCCUCU